rnacentral:rRNA from 1 species
GAGCGGCGGACGGGUGAGUAAUGCCUAGGUAUCUGCCCAGUCGAGGGGGAUAACAGUUGGAAACGACUGCUAAUACCGCAUACGCCCUACGGGGGAAAGAGGGGGACCUUUGGGCCUUUCGCGAUUGGAUAAGCCUAAGUGAGAUUAGCUAGUUGGUGAGGUAAAGGCUCACCAAGGCAACGAUCUCUAGCUGGUUUGAGAGGAUGAUCAGCCACACUGGAACUGAGACACGGUCCAGACUCCUACGGGAGGCAGCAGUGGGGAAUAUUGCACAAUGGGCGCAAGCCUGAUGCAGCCAUGCCGCGUGUAUGAAGAAGGCCUUCGGGUUGUAAAGUACUUUCAGCGAGGAGGAAAGGUUGUUGGUUAAUACCUUACAUCUGUGACGUUACUCGCAGAAGAAGCACCGGCUAACUCCGUGCCAGCAGCCGCGGUAAUACGGAGGGUGCGAGCGUUAAUCGGAAUUACUGGGCGUAAAGCGUACGCAGGCGGUUUGUUAAGCGAGAUGUGAAAGCCCCGGGCUCAACCUGGGAACUGCAUUUCGAACUGGCAAACUAGAGUCUUGUAGAGGGGGGUAGAAUUUCAGGUGUAGCGGUGAAAUGCGUAGAGAUCUGAAGGAAUACCGGUGGCGAAGGCGGCCCCCUGGACAAAGACUGACGCUCAGGUACGAAAGCGUGGGGAGCAAACAGGAUUAGAUACCC